GGCUCAGAAUGAACGCUGGCGGCGUGCCUAACACAUGCAAGUCGAGCGAGAAAGUUCCUUCGGGGAGCGAGUGCAGCGGCGGACGGGUGAGUAACGCGUGGACGAUCUACCCAGUGAUUCGGGAUAACCUUGCGAAAGCGGGGCUAAUACCGAAUGGUCUGGGCAUUUUGAAAUGUGCCUGGUAAAGGUGGCCUCUGAUUCAAGCUAUCGUCUUUGGAUGGGUCCGCGUCCCAUUAGCUUGUUGGUAGGGUCAUGGCCUACCAAGGCGACGAUGGGUAGCUGGUCUGAGAGGAUGAUCAGCCACACUGGGACUGGAACACGGCCCAGACUCCUACGGGAGGCAGCAGUGGGGAAUAUUGGGCAAUGGGCGCAAGCCUGACCCAGCAACGCCGCGUGAGGGAAGAAGGUCUUCGGAUCGUAAACCUCAGUCAGGAGGGAAGAAAUGGGUUGUCCUGAACAGGGAUGGCCUUUGACGGUACCUCCAGAGGAAGCACCGGCCAACUCCGUGCCAGCAGCCGCGGUAAUACGGAGGGUGCAAGCGUUAUUCGGAAUCACUGGGCGUAAAGCGCACGUAGGCGGCUUUGCAAGUCAGGUGUGAAAGCCCUCGGCUCAACCGAGGAAUUGCACUUGAAACUGUAGAGCUCGAGUUCGGGAGAGGGUGGCGGAAUUCCAGGUGUAGGAGUGAAAUCCGUAGAUAUCUGGAGGAACACCAGAGGCGAAGGCGGCCACCUGGACCGAAACUGACGCUGAGGUGCGAAAGCGUGGGGAGCAAACAGGAUUAGAUACCCCUGGUAGUCCACGCCGUAAACGAUGGAUGCUAGAUGCUGGGUGUGUAAGACAUUCGGUGUCGGAGUUAACGCGUUAAGCAUCCCGCCUGGGGAGUACGGUCGCAAGGCUGAAACUCAAAGAAAUUGACGGGGGCCCGCACAAGCGGUGGAGUAUGUGGUUUAAUUCGAUGCAACGCGAAGAACCUUACCUGGGCUUGACAUCCCGGGAACCUCCUGGAAACAGGGGCGUGCCCUUCGGGGAACCCGGUGACAGGUGCUGCAUGGCUGUCGUCAGCUCGUGCCGUGAGCUGUUGGGUUAAGUCCCGCAACGAGCGCAACCCUUGUCCUUAGUUGCCAUCAGGUAAAGCUGGGCCCUCUAGGGAGACUGCCGAGGUGAACUCGGAGGAAGGUGGGGACGACGUCAAGUCAUCAUGGCCCUUACGCCCAGGGCUACACACGUACUACAAUGGUGGGUACAAAGGGAAGCC
rnacentral:rRNA from 1 species